GACGAACGCUGGCGGCGUGCCUAAUACAUGCAAGUUGAGCGAUGAAGAUUGGUGCUUGCACCAAUUUGAAGAGCAGCGAACGGGUGAGUAACGCGUGGGGAAUCUGCCUUUGAGCGGGGGACAACAUUUGGAAACGAAUGCUAAUACCGCAUAACAACUUUAAACAUAAGUUUUAAGUUUGAAAGAUGCAAUUGCAUCACUCAAAGAUGAUCCCGCGUUGUAUUAGCUAGUUGGUGAGGUAAAGGCUCACCAAGGCGAUGAUACAUAGCCGACCUGGGAGGGUGAUCGGCCACAUUGGGACUGAGACACGGCCCAAACUCCUACGGGAGGCAGCAGUAGGGAAUCUUCGGCAAUGGACGAAAGUCUGACCGAGCAACGCCGCGUGAGUGAAGAAGGUUUUCGGAUCGUAAAACUCUGUUGGUAGAGAAGAACGUUGGUGAGAGUGGAAAGCUCAUCAAGUGACGGUAACUACACAGAAAGGGACGGCUAACUACGUG
rnacentral:rRNA from 1 species